CUGAUUAUCUAAAUAUUCUGGAAUUUCAUUUUGUUCAUCUGGAAUUUCUGUGAUGGUAAAAGUAAUCAAUUCAUCUUUUUCCAUAUACAAGUAUUAAAGUCAGAACUCCUUAGGUAAUAUAUCCGAUGGUACUGUAGAAAAUUAAGUGAAGCAUGGCAAUUGAAAAAAUAUUGACUCAACAGCAAACAAUUCUUGGCUUGGGGAUUCCUGGUGAAAGUGAAAGUCAUCUUAUUAUUCCGUGAAUUGAAAAGUCUUGCUGGUUGAAAGACCAACCUUUCUGUUCAACAUUGCAGACAUUCAUGAUAUUGUAGUAUGUUCUGCAGCUCGUUUUCAAUCUUGGUAACUGGAACUGAACUCAUCACAACCGUAUCCUUAUAUCAGGUUAGUUACAAGAAAAUUAGUUUCUACCACCAUACAAACUUUAUGUUUUGAACAUUUAUAACCUGUUUAUAUAAAAUAUAUAACCUAGUUACUGAGUACAAAUUCUUAUUGGGGUUAAUUAUGUGGUUUCCAUUUUGGGAUUUCAUUAAUGCGUCUAAUCUUGUUGAUAUCUGGGUACAGUGAUUAAAGCAUUCACAAUUUUUUUUAAAAAAAUCAUAAUACACUGUCUUUAAAGCACGUAUAUGCUUUUUUUUUUUUUUUAGAAAUAUAGUUUUGCUUAUAGUGAUACUGAAUCAGGCUGUUUUUUUUUCUGAAAAUAUAGUUUUGCUUAUAGUGUUACUGAAUCGGGCUGUUGACUGUCUUACAGUUUACGUGUGGCAUCGACCGAGACUAUAAUCUGAUCUAGUAUUAUAAACUUUAUAUCCUUGAGAAGUGUUGAGAUAAGAGAAAUCGGUAUGCAGGAG
rnacentral:lncRNA from 1 species